AGCUGAAACCAGGAUUUCAUGAGUUGUAAUUUAGUAUCAAAAUGUAUACAAUGGAGUUCCAUGAUUUUUUUUCCAUUUGUUUACAGAUGUGACAUAGACUAUGGUUACUUUUCAUCACCUUCCUAAAAUAAUGGCCUAAGUCAUUUUUUCAGUUUUUUCAGAAAACACAAAAAACUAAACGGCCUAAGUCACACGCUUGACAUAGGCAAUUAUACUAAAGGUGUGGAAUCACAAGACCUGUUCAACUGAGGAUGUAGGCAAUUUUACCAGAGGUGACCAGCACCAUGAGGAGAUGAUUUAGGCAAAAAAAA